GGGACACCCGGUGUGAUUCGGCAAUCGGUCUUGGGAAACCGAUUCCCGUGGUUCCUUCUCUGGGGAUUUUAUAUUAGUUGCUGACAUUAGGGUUUCCUUCUGAUCUUGUGGACCCUUUGUAGGUCCGGUUGCUCUGUUCCCCGCCGUCGUGAGAUCUGAUCCAGACUCGUACAGGUGGGUACUUCGAUCCGACGUCGGUACAGUGGUGCACGCUCGGUGACGUUUCCUUUACCCUUGUUGUUUAUAUCUUUUAUCAUAUAUACGUUGAGCCUUGCACCCAUACUGUUUCCUUAUUACUCUACUUAGUUGUUGCCAGGUGUAGUAUCAUGUGUAGGAGUAGAGUAGACUUUAUCUGUAUAUGAUCUUCAUGACCUGGUUGGUCGUCGUUGCAUCUCCUACACUUGUGACCUGGUUAGUGGUUUCUUGUACUUCGUAUCAGUGACCUAGUUGGUUGAUUCUUUGACUUCUGUUGUCCGAUGACCGUUGAGGUCGGUGUACCCUGAGAGGUCGGAUUGUCGGCUAGUGGCUGACGAUAGUUCAUAUCUUAUACUUGUGACAUUGUUGGUCGAGUUUCAUACGCUAUACUGGCGACCUGGUUGGUCGAGUCUUCUGUGUCGUAUCUAGGACCUUGUUGGUCGAGCUUCCUAUCCUAUACUUGUGACCUUGUUGGUCGAGUUUCAUAUCCUGUACUGGUGACCUGGUUGGUCGAGUUUCAUACCCUAUACUUACGACCUGGUUGGUCGAUUUGUUUACAUGAUGACCCAUGCGGUCGAUGGGCCCUGGGGGGCAGGAUUGUCGGCUGGUUGCCGACGGUUGAUCGUUGAGCAUAUUGCAUUGAUCGCCCGAUACUCGUCGCAUUUCACGAACACUGGCGGUCUGAUCCACAGCAAGGAGUGUUCUUUUCCGAAAAAGUGGUUGAAUGGUGACAACCCGUGAGCCCUAGAGGGGUUAUAUGCGUGUUAGAGCGGCAGUGGUACUGUCGGGAGGUGUUGCGGUGCGGACCUCCAGGGCAUUGGCUUGAGGUCUGCGGUGCUGACCAAGAGAGCAUUGGUUUCAGAUUGGGUACUUUUGGACUUCUUGACCGGUUGACGCAUAUGUCUAUAGUAGCAGUCGUUGCAUGCAUACUUACAGUUCUUACUUUAUAGUUGUCUUGCUGCUAUAGUAGAUAUUCAUGUAUGCUUUCGGUUCCAGUUACAGUAGCGGUAGCCGUUAUUCAGUCUAGUUCUUACUUUCUUUCAGUUUAUUGCUACUGUAUUUAGUAUAUCUGCUCAUUACCUCUUACAUCUCUUUUGUUUACUAUUGUUCCUACUGUAUUUCCACUGACCCGUGUUGUUGUAUAGCUCUUCCUGAUCCGGUGAGUACUCCUCGCCUUCUUCGGCUUGCGGUACCCACUGGGAGGGGAGACAUGUUUACAUGUUCUCACCUCCCCCACCAUUUUUCAGGUAUCGCGGGCGAUGAAUAGUGGGACGAGACGUGAGGUACGUGUGUAGCGGUCGAUAGAGCUUCCGACCCAGGUUAUUUCGGUAUAGUUAUUACCCUUAUUAUUUCAGUUGUUAUAGCUUAGAUAGUUAUAUGGUUCAGUAUUUUUAUUACAUUUGAAAAUAUGGAUUUUCGUGAAUGUAAUAAAUGAAUUUCUGGAUUUUGUGAAAUAAAAGGUUUUCUACCCCUCGUGGUAGCGUUUUUAAAGAAUAAAGGUUUCCGUGUAGGAAACAGUUUUCAAAAGGUUUUCUGUGGAUUUUGCAUCUUAGUAUUUCAAAACCUGUUUCUGUGGUUGGAAACAUUUUAACUGAUAGAUGUGGAUUUAUGUUUAAAUAUCGAAUAUAUAAAUGUGAACCUGUGAUGUGAAUGGUGUAUGAAUAUAUAAUUGUUGGUUAUUUGUAUGUUCAUUUGGUUGUGGUUGUACCUGGGUUACUUCUUGUAUUUGUGUGACGCCGUGCAAAUACAGGGGAGACUCUGUCCGUGUAAACAGUGGAUUCCCUGUGUUUGUGGCGGAUCUGGCAUACUCUGGGGUCAGGCUUUUCAAAAGAAAAAAAAAAAUUUUUCAGACGCUUUUCCGCUAUGUUUUAAACUAAAAGAGACCCCGGGGCGUGACAAUGUGUCCUUUGAUGCCACAUCCAUGACGCAGUUUUUCUUUUGAAUUUGUUGAGACUUU
rnacentral:lncRNA from 1 species